rnacentral:lncRNA from 10 species
GACUCAUAUGCCCAAGGAGUAAGCACAGAAUAUGCAGGCUACAUUCUGUUUAUGAAAAAUUAGAAAUAUUUUAAAGGUUUUUUAAUACCUGAGCUAUAUCCACAUAAGACAUAUUGCAAUUCCAGCUAAUGAGGUUGAGAUAUGUAUUAACAUGGCAGAAGUUAUAUGUAUUGUAUGUGAGCAUGUUUUUAAAACAUACAACAUGAAAUUGUAUGAAACAGCUCUAUAAGCACAUUUGUUCAUGUAUUCAAUAUAUGUUUACCAUCUAUUUUAUGCUAGGUUCUCUUGUAAGCACAAGGAAUACAGCAGUAAAACAAACAAAAAAUUCUCUCUGCCUCCAGGGAGCUAAUAUUCUAGCUGAGGAGACAGACAAUAAAAAAGUGAAUAAGUAAAAAAUAUCAUGGCUUAGGUGGCGAUAAGUGCUAUCAAGGCAAAGAAAGCUGGGAAAAGGAAUAAUGAACAUUGGGGGUACUGCAAU